GUGAUGCCCACGUGCCACAGAGUUAUUGCCCGAAGUGCCAGUGGGCUGUGCAGGGGAUGGGCUCUUCCUUCCAGAUGGUCUGCAGCCUCUGGGACCACGCAGCCACCAUCCCCUUUCUUUCUUCUUCGGAUGCAAUUUCAGGAGCAAAGCUGAUCUGAGGGGCAAGGACUUUAAAUCCACAGAAGUGUAAUGUGCCAUGCUAAAGCCACAGGGGAAGAAAAGAACUCAUUAGAAACUACACCUGUUACAUACCAUUCAGUUAAAUGAUUUAAGGGGGGAAAUGGUGUGAAACAAACCUUCAAAAAAUCAUGAAACAACCUUAAUGUUACAGGCAACUGAAAGCUAAACUUCCCUAUGGCUUUAGGACACAGCCUUGCAUAAGAGCCGUGAAGAACUUGGGGCAGUUGCAAUUUCCAAGCUCUAUUUUUAUAACUGCAAUUAACCUACAAUCUUUGCAACUGAUUCAGAUGCCAAACAUUAUAGUUCUGCUUGAUUGGGCAAAUUAUGGUACAUUCACACUAUAGAUACAGAAAAGGGGUGACGCGUGCAUUUUCCCAGCAAACUCCCUACCCCUCAAGAACGAGCUCUCCCCCUGUCUCGACAAACCUCCCUUAAACAACCUGGAAGAACAGUUGACCCCUAGGUUUCUGGGUUCCCUGGAGCCCCUGACCUGGAGUCUGCUCCCCACUCCCUCCCUCUGCCACCCCUCACCAGGGGUUCCUUCGUGGGACACCCCAGCACGUUGGAACUGCUCUGCCCACCACCUUCCCUUUGGCAGGUGGCCACUACUCGGCCACAUUUCAGGCCCAGGGACACUCACGCAGGCACCAAGAGGUCCCCUGGGGAAGCAGGCCUGGGAGGGGCCUGCGGCUACAGCUCUGUCCUUGGGAUCCAGGAGGCCCAAGUGACCAGAGCCCUUAUAAUAGAUUCCCCUUUCCUUCUAGUUGGACAGGAAUUUCUGUCACCCAACAAUUCCCUCAAAGCUCAUGUGCGUACUCUGCUGCCAGGUUUACACAGCCACAGCCAUGCCUGCACAUCUUCCUUGCAGUGGCGUUAGAGAAAAACAAACCUGAAAUAUCACUAGGUCAGCCUCCCGAACCUUUUUCUGCUCAUCAGUGAUGUCGCUAGCCAGAGACCUUUGCUUGUAGGCUUCGUGGGUUUCCACUCCAUAACUGCCUGCUCAGUUCAUCUACAGCCACAUUCUUCAAGGAUCCGUUGAAAGACUUGGGUUCCUGGUGUGCAUAGACAAUGAGUACUUUCUUACCUAAAUCAGGAUAAGAAACAGUUCCUCUUGAAGAACAACCCCCAGCUAAUUUUUUGUAUUUUUAGUACAGAUGGGAUUUUGCCAUGUUGGCCAGGCUGGUCUUGAACUCCUGGCCUCAAGUGAUCCACCCGCCUUGGCCUCCCAAAGUGCUUCGCUCUUGUUGCCCAGGCUGGAGCAACGAUCCCAGCUCACUGCAACCUCUGCCUCCCGGGUUCAAGCAAUUCUCCUACCUCAGCCUCCUGAGUAGCUGGGAUUACAGGCAUGCGCCACCACGCCCGGAUAAUUUUUUGUAUUUAAAUACCAAACUUUCUAAUAGGUGGCAGUUUUAAAGCAAUGGGCAUUUUAAAAAUCCAGUUAUUCAUAGCUCAACAUCACAAUACAAUGGGUCAAAUUAUAUCUCCUCAAAAAUACCACCACUAAAUCUUUUAAAAGCCCAACCUAAUUAUUUUCCUCAUUGGAAAGAGUCUCCAGGCUUAUAUACUGACUUCGUCUGGGAGGCAGCCUGGUGAUUUGCUUAAUUAAAUUUACCCUGGUCACCUUUAAGAAGAUGUUAAACUCUUGAUUUAAAUUUUUCAUAAUGACACUUUAAGGAAAAGAUACACGUAUCAGUUUGAAGCAAUGGGUUUCAGGGCAUUGAGCUGGCUACAAAGGUUGAAUUCCAUAAGUUAGAUUCAU
rnacentral:lncRNA from 1 species